UGAAAGUGGGGCCAUGUGCUUGAUUCUUGUGCUUUGGCGGGGAUAAAGCGGUCCACGUGCAGAGAUGUGGAGAAGGCGCUGGUGGUCCACUUGCAGCGAGUUUGGAGAAGCGGGCCGCGUGAGUGUUGGGUGCUGGAGUGGGCUGUCCUCGCGCAAGAAUUGAGCUUGGCCAUUUGGGCGUGAGUGAUCCAUAUGUACGAGGCCCAUUUGCGUCAAUAUUUCAGCUUCAAAAUAUUUUUCUCCGUUUAGCUCGUUUUGAAUCCAACUUGGCAGGCUUGCUCUCUUUUUCUCCAAAUAAGGCAGUUUUAGGGAGAUUUUUUCCAAAUUGUCCUUUUACACUAUUUUCUGCAAAAUAAUAUUAAAAACA
rnacentral:lncRNA from 1 species